rnacentral:rRNA from 1 species
GAUAGGUGAGAAUCCUAUCCAUCGAAAGCCUAAGGUUUCCAGGGGAAGGCUCGUCCGCCCUGUGUAAGUCGGGACCUAAGGUGAGGCCGAAAGGCGUAGCCGAUGGACAACAGGUUGAUAUUCCUGUACCACUUAUUAAACUGAUGGAGUGACGGAGAAGGCUAAGUUGAGCGUGUGAUUGGAUUCACGUGUAAGCAGUGAGGUGGUCAUGUAGGCAAAUCCGCAUGGCAUAACAUUGAGCUGUGAUGCCGAAGCCGUAUGGCGAAGUCAACUGACGUCACGCUUCCAAGAAAAGCUUCUAGGGUUAAUUUAAUAAGUGCCCGUACCGAUAACCGACACAGGUAGGCGAGGAGAGAAUCCUAAGAUGAGCGAGAGAACUCUUGUUAAGGAACUCGGCAAAAUGACCCCGUAACUUCGGGAGAAGGGGUGCUUGUGAAAGCAAGCCGCAGUGAAUAGGCCCAGGCGACUGUUUAUCAAAAACACAGGUCUCUGCUAAACCGCAAGGUGAUGUAUAGGGGCUGACGCCUGCCCGGUGCUGGAAGGUUAAGAGGAGAGGUUAGCGCAAGCGAAGCUUUGAAUUGAAGCCCCAGUAAACGGCGGCCGUAACGAUAACGGUCCUAAGGUAGCGAAAUUCCCUGUCGGGUAAGUUCCGACCCGCACGAAAGGCGUAACGAUCUGGGCGCUGUCUCAACAAGAGACUCGGUGAAAUCAUAGUACCUGUGAAGAUGCAGGUUACCCGCGACAGGACGGAAAGACCCCGUGGAGCUUUACUGUAGCUUGAUAUUGAGCACUGGUGGCACAUGUACAGGAUAGGUAGGAGACGAAGAAACCAGGACGCCAGUCUUGGUGGAGUCGCUGUUGGGAUACUACCCUUGUGUCACUGGGGUUCUAACCCGUGGCCCUUAUCGGGUCAGGGAACAGUGUCAGGUGGGCAGUUUGACUGGGGCGGUCGCCUCCCAAAGAGUAACGGAGGCGCCCAAAGGUUCCCUCAGAAUGGUUGGAAAUCAUUCGAAGAGUGUAAAGGCAGAAGGGAGCUUGACUGCGAGACCUACAAGUCGAGCAGGGACGAAAGUCGGGCUUAGUGAUCCGGCGGUACCGAAUGGAAGGGCCGUCGCUCAACGGAUAAAAGCUACCCCGGGGAUAACAGGCUGAUCUCCCCCAAGAGUUCACAUCGACGGGGAGGUUUGGCACCUCGAUGUCGGCUCAUCGCAUCCUGGGGCUGUAGUCGGUCCCAAGGGUUGGGCUGUUCGCCCAUUAAAGCGGUACGCGAGCUGGGUUCAGAACGUCGUGAGACAGUUCGGUCCCUAUCCGUCGUGGGCGUAGGAAAUUUGAGAGGAGCUGUCCUUAGUACGAGAGGACCGGGAUGGACACACCGCUGGUGUACCAGUUGUUCUGCCAGGAGCAUAGCUGGGUAGCUACGUGUGGACGGGAUAAACGCUGAAAGCAUCUAAGCGUGAAGCCCCCCUCAAGAUGAGAUUUCCCAUUCGAAAGAAGUAAGAUCCCUUGAAGACGACGAGGUUGAUAGGUCAGGAGUGGAAGUGUGGUGACACAUGGAGCGGACUGAUACUAAUCGAUCGAGGACUUAACC